rfam:Triticum aestivum genome assembly, contig: Triticum_aestivum_CS42_TGACv1_scaffold_434277_5DL
GCCCGUCUAGCUCAGUUGAUAGAGCGCAAGGCUCUUAACCUUGUGGGCGUGGGUUCGAGCCCCACGGUGGACG